rnacentral:RNase_P_RNA from 3 species
UGAGUCGGCCGGGCGGCCGCGUCAGGACCUCGGUCCUGCCGAGGAACGUCCGGGCUCCACAGGGCAGGGUGGUGGCCAACAGCCACCCGGGGUGACCCGCGGGACAGUGCCACAGAAAGCAGACCGCCAGCCUUGGCUGGUAAGGGUGAAACGGUGGUGUAAGAGACCACCAGCGCCCCAGGCGACUGGGGCGGCUCGGUAAACCCCACCCGGAGCAAGCCCAGACAGCGCACGUUCGAGACCGGCCCGGUCGAGUGCGCGGGUAGGGCGCUGGAGCCGGUCAGCAAUGACCGGCCGAGAUGGAUGGCCGCCACCGCACCACCCGGUAACGGAGGUGCGGCACAGGACCCGGCGUACAGGCCGACUCAUCCA